ACUCCUACGGAGGCAGUAGUGGGGAAUAUUGCACAAUGGGCGCAAGCCUGAUGCAGCCAUGCCGCGUGUGUGAAGAAGGCCUUCGGGUUGUAAAGCACUUUCAGUUGUGAGGAAGGUGGUGUCGUUAAUAGCGGCAUCAUUUGACGUUAGCAACAGAAGAAGCACCGGCUAACUCCGUGCCAGCAGCCGCGGUAAUACGGAGGGUGCGAGCGUUAAUCGGAAUUACUGGGCGUAAAGCGCAUGCAGGUGGUUUGUUAAGUCAGAUGUGAAAGCCCGGGGCUCAACCUCGGAACUGCAUUUGAAACUGGCAGACUAGAGUACUGUAGAGGGGGGUAGAAUUUCAGGUGUAGCGGUGAAAUGCGUAGAGAUCUGAAGGAAUACCGGUGGCGAAGGCGGCCCCCUGGACAGAUACUGACGCUCAGAUGCGAAAGCU
rnacentral:rRNA from 1 species